GCCGGUAUAGUUAAACGGUAUAACAGUUGCCUUGUAAGCAUCAAUUCUAGGUUCGAUUCCUUGUACCGGCACCA
rnacentral:tRNA from 2 species